rnacentral:lncRNA from 1 species
AUGCUGCUGUCCUCUUUGCAGGUUGCUGGCAGUUCCUUGGAACUUAACUGCUUUUCUCUAAUUGUCUGUGACUGUUUCCUUAUGGUUAUUUCUCUUAACUAUAUUAUUUUAAAUUUUGUUUUCUCCGUCUGCGGGAAGCUGCCGUUUCAAUCCUCAUCCACUUCCUCGCCCUCCGACUCGUCGCCGCCGCCGCUGCCCCCACCGCGUCGCUCAUACAGCUUAUCCCUCUGUCGCUCCUGGAUUUCUUUCAUCUCAUCUGCAUACCGACAGAAGGCGCCUCCAAACUUGCCCCAGGCCUUGAAGGGCACGGUGAUGGCAUUGCGGUAGGACGGCUUCACCUCGCUCACUCGCAGGAACACCCCGUACUUGUUGCA